GACGUAGGGUCCAAGCGUUAUCCGGAUUUACUGGGCGUAAAGAGCGCGUAGGCGGUCUGUUAAGUGAGAAGUGAAAUCUUCAGGGCUCAACCCGAAAAUUGCUUUUCAUACUGGCAGACUUGAGGGAUGGAGAGGUAUGUGGAAUUCCUGGUGUAGCGGUGAAAUGCGUUGAUAUCAGGAGGAACACCCAUGGCGAAGGCAGCAUACUGGUCAUCAUCUGACGCUGAGGCGCGAAAGCUAGGGGAGCAAACAGG
rnacentral:rRNA from 1 species